CACUCCUGCGGGAGGCAGCAGUGGGGAAUUUUGGACAAUGGGCGAAAGCCUGAUCCAGCAAUGCCGCGUGUGUGAAGAAGGCCUUCGGGUUGUAAAGCACUUUUGUCCGGAAAGAAAUCCUUGGCUCUAAUACAGUCGGGGGAUGACGGUACCGGAAGAAUAAGCACCGGCUAACUACGUGCCAGCAGCCGCGGUAAUACGUAGGGUGCGAGCGUUAAUCGGAAUUACUGGGCGUAAAGCGUGCGCAGGCGGUUUGCUAAGACCGAUGUGAAAUCCCCGGGCUCAACCUGGGAACUGCAUUGGUGACUGGCAGGCUAGAGUAUGGCAGAGGGGGGUAGAAUUCCACGUGUAGCAGUGAAAUGCGUAGAGAUGUGGAGGAAUACCGAUGGCGAAGGCAGCCCCCUGGGCCAAUACUGACGCUCAUGCACGAAAGCGUGGGGAGCAAACAGGAUUAGAAACCCCUGUAGUCCC
rnacentral:rRNA from 1 species